rnacentral:rRNA from 1 species
UGCAGUCGAGCGCGCCCUUCGGGGUGAGCGGCGGACGGGUUAGUAACGCGUGGGAAUAUACCCUUUUCUGCGGAAUAGCCUCUGGAAACGGAGAGUAAUACCGCAUACGCCCUUCGGGGGAAAGAUUUAUCGGGGAAGGAUUAGCCCGCGUUAGAUUAGGUAGUUGGUGGGGUAAUGGCCUACCAAGCCUACGAUCUAUAGCUGGUUUUAGAGGAUGAUCAGCAACACUGGGACUGAGACACGGCCCAGACUCCUACGGGAGGCAGCAGUGGGGAAUCUUGGACAAUGGGCGCAAGCCUGAUCCAGCCAUGCCGCGUGAGUGAUGAAGGCCUUAGGGUCGUAAAGCUCUUUCGCCUGUGAAGAUAAUGACGGUAGCAGGUAAAGAAACCCCGGCUAACUCCGUGCCAGCAGCCGCGGUAAUACGGAGGGGGUUAGCGUUGUUCGGAAUUACUGGGCGUAAAGCGCACGUAGGCGGACUGGAAAGUUGGGGGUGAAAUCCCAGGGCUCAACCCUGGAACUGCCUCCAAAACUAUCAGUCUAGAGUUCGAGAGAGGUGAGUGGAAUUCCGAGUGUAGAGGUGAAAUUCGUAGAUAUUCGGAGGAACACCAGUGGCGAAGGCGGCUCACUGGCUCGAUACUGACGCUGAGGUGCGAAAGUGUGGGGAGCAAACAGGAUUAGAUACCCUGGUAGUCCACACCGUAAACGAUGAAUGCCAGUCGUCGGGUAGCAUGCUAUUCGGUGACACACCUAACGGAUUAAGCA